CCUCAUUCAAAUUGCAGGCUGGAGCCAUGCCCAAUAUGCCUCUUCAGAGCCACAACUACCCACAGUUCAUAGGUCUCCGGAGCCUGGGGCAUCGCAUCUAGAUGGAAAGGACUGAAUAUCAACUGAAGAGCCUAAAUUUUGGGCUGAUGCAGUCAGUGAUUAAGAGUUUUGAGUCAGUGAUGGGGCGAAUAUGUUUCAUGUGUGGAAAGAUAAAUAAAAGGGAUGAUGCAUGACCAGAAAGGAGGACUGUGGCAGAAACAGCCUAGAUGCUCACCAAUCUUAUUUCUACUGUUUGGGCAGAUGGAAACUGCUAUAGUUCAAAGCCUCUCUUGGAGUUAGAUUGCAAUCAUAUGACUGAGAAAUAGAAUGUGAGCGAAACUCACUGGUGUCACUUCCAAACUUGGCUCUUUAAAUGUUCUUCACAAUCAUUCAUGUACUCACUCUACUGUCUUAUGACUAUUGUACAUAUUCAUGCACAUAAUGAUGUUUCCAUACAUAUAAUGUGUAAUAAUCAGAUCAGGGAGAGUCGCAUAUCUAUCAGCUCAAAUGUUUAUCAUUUCUCUGUGUUGGGAAUGUUCAAUAUCUUCCUUCUAGCUAUUUGAAACUAUAUAUUAUUGUUAACUCCUGUCAUCCUACAGUAGUAUAGAUUAUUAUAAGUUAUUCCUCCUAUCUAGCUGUAAUUUUAUAUCCUUUAACAAAUCUCUCCCUGUCUCUCAGUAAAGUAUCCUGAGAUAGUGGAACUUCUCUGGUUAACACUUGGAAAAGAAUUGCUGAAAAGAGCUGUCUCACCAACUUUGGGCUGUGAUUUUGUUUUGUGAAGUCAUUGUGAUUUUGGGAUGGUUGUUUAUAGCAGCUAGCAAGUCUUAGCAUGGCAAAUACAGUAACUGUCAUACUAAAAAAUAUGAUGCAGAAUAAAUUAUGUUAGGUAGAUUAAAUAAAUCUAUAUUAUUAAUAAAUAAUAUUUGUAAGUCUGAAUUUUAUCUGUUGGAAUGUCAGAAAAGAAUGGGGAUUAUAUAAAAAAGAAUUGUUAGAAACCAGAGUGUAUCCUAUAUAGGAUCAUUAGUGAAGAAAUAGAUGGAAAAGUGGAAAUGAAUAACUAUUUCUUCCACACAGAAUAAAACCCAGAAACAAAGAAAAGUUAAGUAGUAUUAGAUAGUGAUUCCCAAGCCUGGGAAUGGGAGUCAGUGAUACUCACCUAGGAGAGAAUAUUAGGAAGGAGUGAGUGACAUGAAAAAAAAAGUCACGGAGGGAAAGGGUAAAGUUUUAGUAAGUCCUAUGGAUGACAAUUAUGUAUUACCUGCAGCUUGUCCUACUAGAGGAAUAGUCUCUGUGCCAAGAGG
rnacentral:lncRNA from 1 species